UGCCAACCGGGUGUCUGCACUAAGUUCGGCAUCAAUAUAAUGACCUCCUGGGAGCAGGGGGCCGCCAGGUUGCCUAAGGAUGAGUGAACUGGCCCAGAUCAGAAAGGGAGCAGGUCAGAACUCCCGCACCAACCGCUAGUGUGACUGUGCCUGGGCA
ensembl:misc_RNA Metazoa_SRP Metazoan signal recognition particle RNA